UACGUAGGGUGCGAGCGUUGUCCGGAAUUAUUGGGCGUAAAGAGCUCGUAGGCGGUUUGUCGCGUCGGCCGUGAAAUCUCCACGCUUAACGUGGAGCGUGCGGUCGAUACGGGCAGACUUGAGUUCGGUAGGGGAGACUGGAAUUCCUGGUGUAGCGGUGAAAUGCGCAGAUAUCAGGAGGAACACCGGUGGCGAAGGCGGGUCUCUGGGCCGAUACUGACGCUGAGGAGCGAAAGCGUGGGGAGCGAACAGG
rnacentral:rRNA from 1 species